AGAACUGCUAGAUUAGGACUGGAGAGUCAGAGGUAUUUUGGGGGAACGGUAAAACACGUCACUAGCGUCCUGGACGUAACGUUAGGAUGUUUACAUUGCUAUAAUCCCCGAAGGACCACUGUGGCGAAGGCGUCUGACUAGACGGAUCCGACUGUGAGGACGAAAGCUAGGGAGCAAUCCGGAUUAGAUAUCCAAAAAUUCUGCGAAUUUUUGGAACCCCUCUGGGGUACGAGAAAUCAUCAAGAUUGCAAAUUGAUUUACUUUGAUGGUAUCUUUGAUAUGAGGAUUUUUGACUAACUACCCGAGUAGUCCUAGCUGUAAACUCUGCGAGCUAGGUGUUGCAUAAUCUUCGUGAUUAUGCAGUGUCGAAGCGAAGGUGUUAAGCUCGCCGCCUGGGAAGUAUGGUCGCAAGGCUGAAACUUAAAGGAAUUGGCGGGGGAGCACUACAAGGGGUGCGGCGUGCGGUUUAAUCUAAUUCAACACAGAGAAACUCACCAGAAGCGACGGCAGGAUGAAGGUCAGAUUGAAGGUUUUACCUAACGAGCCGAGAGGUAGUGCAUGGCCGUCGUCAGCUCGUGCCGUAAGGUGUCCUGUUAACUUCCCUAGGGAAGUUUCGGAACGACCGUAGGGAGUGACAGAAAGUCAGGCAACGAGCGAGACCUGCACUCAUAAUUGCUAACAGCUCUAUCAGAGGACUGAGCACAUUAUGAGGACUGCCUUUGAAAAAAGGAGGAAGGUGCAGGCUACGGUAGGUCUGUAUGCUCCGAAUCUUCUGGGCUACACGCGCGCAACAAUGGCAAGGACAAUGGGCUACAACUCCGAAAGGAGAAGUCAAUCCUCGAAACCUUGUCUUAGUUCAGAUUGAGGGUUGUAACUCACCCUCAUGACGCUGGAAUCCCUAGUAAUCGGGCCUUAUCAUGGCCUGGUGAAUAUGUCCCUGCUCCUUGCACACACCGCCCGUCAAACCACCCGAGUAGGGCUUAGAUGAGGCCUCAUUUUUAAUGAGUUCGAAUCUAAGCUCAGCGAGGAGGGUUAAGUCGUAACAAGGUAGCC
rnacentral:rRNA from 1 species